AGGUCACAGCUUGCAAGCAAGCAAGCUCCACUAGCAGAACAGAACUGUGGGGUAUGGCUGAGGGGAAUCUAGAACACAGGCAGAGGAGGGAGAGUAUAAAUAUCAACUAACGCUCAGCACCAAAUGCAGAAGUGGUGAACGCUGCUUGGUCUACCAUCCUCUUGCUAUGUGGCAUUGGUCAGAAUUUAGUCAUGUGGACAUACCAAACUGCAAAUGAGGCUGGGAAAUGAAUUGUAGCUGCAUGCCCAGGAGGACGGAGGAAUAAUGAUCAAGUCUAAGUUGCUUUUUUUCUGCCUUUCCCUAUUUCAUUCUCUUCAACUCGGAGUGAUUUCAUUAGUUCUGCCUGCAUUUCAUUGGACAGAGAUGAGUCAUAUUACCAUAUCUAAUUAUUAAUCUAAGACAGGAUGAGAAAGGAAGUCUAGCUAUGAGCUCAGAAAGAAAGACUCGGCCUGAAUUAUUUCUUGCAGAAGAUCCAAGAACCUUCUGUUGGGGUCUGAAUUGGGACUCCUUUCCUGUAGCAUCUUUCUGGUGACCACUGAAGGGACUACAGUGCAGAAAACCCCCACCCAAAGGCUAACUUUCGAUGCAGAACCCAUGGAAACAGAAGGGCAACUAAAUGUUAGAAUCUGAUCAUGUGAAGCUUUGGUCACCAAAGAAAUGAAUCAUUUCCUGGUCUUUGCUAUCUCCUGUGUUCUCUGGGGGAGAUACAGCCCUUUGAUGCAUACCUGCCUUCAUAAACUUUUCCAUGAAGGACGUUUGUGAGGCUGAGUGUGUGGCAGGCAAGUGUCACCGAGGAACCAAGAAGAACCCAAAUGAUGUUCAAGGUCCCAGAGAUCCUGGAGCAUAUGAACGUGGGUACCAAGAGUUUUAUAGAGACGAGGUCUAAACUAUGUUACCCAAGAUGGUCUUGAACUCCUGGGCUCAAGUGAUCUGCCCACCUUGGCCUCCCAAAGUGCUGGGAUCACAGCAUAAUGCUAAUAAUGAGUUCCUGACUCAACCCUGAGGAUCUACCAAAAUUUUCCUCCUUCAUUCACCAGCUGAUGCCAGGUGUGGAAGGGCAGAAGGAAGAAGGAAAGUGGAGUAGGAAGUGUGAGAAUGUGCAUGUAAUCUACGCCUGUGCAGCAUAUCCAGGCAUGCCAGCUUCAACUCACUUCAUCAUGAGAGACCAAAAAUAAACAUAAUGAAAUAGAGGACAUUCUCGAGCCUCAAAAAAUUGAACUAUCUUAAAAGGAAUAUUGUGACUGCCUCCAGUUUACUUUUGGGAAAUGUGAGUCACAAAAAGUAAAACAAUGUACUCAAGAUCACACCACUGAGAAGUGUGUUAGGUGAGACAUCUUGAAGCUCUUCCUUCUCAUGCUGGAAAAGCUGUCAGAAAGUUCAAGUCCUCCUCUUGACAUAGUACAUGCCUAUUUGCUCAUUGAGAUAGGCUAACCUUUUCAAGCAAUGUGCGGCACCCCUUAGCUUCAAUAAAGUGUUCAAUGUAAGAAGAAUAUGCUCUGUAUCCAUAAUAAAAUCACCACAAAUCAAAUAAAUGACCAAGUUGC